UCUCCCUGGGACCGGCCUUGACGAGGGAGCUUCGCAGCUCCACCUAACGUACCCUACGCAGGGCCGCCCGCUCUCAAUGCCUGGUCGCUUUGGGGGUGCCGAGGCCCGACCUGCCUCCCCAGUUCGGGGCCACCCAGUGGGCCGGCCCGGCUUCAGGGCCCCCUUGGCAGCCGGGCCGCAGCCACAUCACAGCUCAGCUGGCCGCCCUGCUUUCUACCCGCACUUCUCCCACAAGCCAUGCACGUUCCGGGGCCCAAUCCCCAAAUCCUGUUUCUGAGCAACUCGCUCAAUGCAAACAGGAGGCUUUGCGUUUAAGUGUUUUGUUGAGAAGUAGAGAAACCAACAGACACCAUGUUAACAGUAUGGCUAAAACAUCUCCAGGAACAAGGCUCAGUCGGCAGAGCAUGCAAUUCUUGAUCUUGGGGUUGUAAGUUCAAGCCCCAUGUUGGGUGUAGAGACUACUUAAAAUCUCUGAAACAAAAAACCAUCUCCAGGAACAGGACAGACUGAUAUCACGUACCUCCUGACAGUGCAAGAAAAACACAGGGCCAUUCCCCUGCCCCUCCUGCUCAAAGCACAUGAUCGAUUAUGAUCAGCUGAAAUGUCAGAUAAAAUCAAAUCAGUGGACUUCUGCAAAAUAACUGGUCUGUGCUCAUGAAAGACAAAGAUCUGUGAACUGAAAAACUCUUCCAGGCUAGAGACUGAAUGCCCUUGACAGUGAACACAGAAUCCUGGAGUUUCUUUCACCAUAAGGACAGUUUAUUUAUUUUGAGAGAGAAGAGAGAGCAAGUGGGGGAAGAGC